UUGAAAGCCAGAUAUUUACUUGCAUUUCAAACUCAAGUAAGAUAUUUGGAUGCAGUUCAAAGAACAAAUCGAAACGAGUCUUCACAAGAUGAAACAAAACGCUGUCUCAUCUGAGUCAUUUUAAUAAGACGGGGAUUAUAUCCUAUGCAUACAGAUGUAAAUGUGAAGCACAUGCACUUUCUUUCUUUCUUUCUUGCCACAGUUGCGAAAUACCUUUCUUUUAAAGGAACUUGUUUAAGAAGCUCAUGAAAGCAAUUUGGUCUAAUGGAGAACGCGGUUCGCUCUCGAGGGGAGGAUAAAAAUGAACAAAUUACAGCAGAGACUCAUCAAAUAAUGAACACAAGGCCCUUAUUAGAUAAAUAUUACAUGAAACUCUUUUUUCAAUGCCUUUGAACUACAUAAGACGGUAACUCUGUUGUGCUAACAGUGAAUCUAUUUUUGACCGCAUUCGUUUUAAGAAUAUAACCUGCAUUUUUCAUAGUUUUAAAAUAUUACAUUCACGUUUCUUGGUAAUAAGAUCAUUCCGCGUGAUAAGGUGUGGCAGGUUUUUCACAAAGACAAAAGAAAAAAAACGGGGUGGUCCUUCUCAGGCGCUUGCAUCUUAUUGGUUGGUACAGUUGUCUAAAACACCACCUGAAUGAGGUAGAGAAAAAAGUCAGUGAAAAGCUUGUCAGAAGUGCCUUCAACCUCCAUGAAGUCUGAGUUGAGCUUCAUCGUUGUUUGCAAACCAGUGGGAGCCACAGAACAUAAAAGACACUGCAGGAAUAUUCCAUGUGUUCUAUCCUUCAUUCCACCGGAGUCUGUAUCUGUAUUUAACCAGAUUUCAGUGGUGUGAAGUGCAAAAGACAUGGACGCAUGACUUCAGGAGCCGACCAGAUUGCAAGAAGGACACCAGCACACAAGUCAGUUAGUUUGUUCCUGUACUUUAUCAGCAAUCAAAUAUUUUUUUAUUAUCCGUCUUUAUUUCAUGCUACAUAUGUAAACCUUGGAUUAUCUGCAGGAAACUGUAAUGUAACAUGAAUAAAAUUCCUGACCUCCUGC